rnacentral:rRNA from 1 species
UACGGAGGGUGCGAGCGUUAAUCGGAAUUACUGGGCGUAAAGCGUGCGUAGGCGGUUCGUUAAGUCAGAUGUGAAAGCCCUGGGCUCAACCUGGGAACUGCAUUUGAAACUGGCGGACUAGAGUUUAGUAGAGGGGAGUGGAAUUUCAGGUGUAGCGGUGAAAUGCGUAGAUAUCUGAAGGAACACCAGUGGCGAAGGCGACUCCCUGGACUAGAACUGACGCUGAGGUACGAAAGCGUGGGUAGCAAACAGGAUUAGAUACCCUGGUAGUCCACGCCGUAAACGAUGUCGACUAGCCGUUGGUCCUAUUUACAGGAUUAGUGGCGCAGCUAACGCAUUAAGUCGACCGCCUGGGGAGUACGGCCGCAAGGUUA